UAAUCUAUUUGGAGUAGAUUUUUAUUUAAAUAUGAAUGACUUAUACUUGAUUGCUCAGAAUCACUUACUACUACAUCGAACAAUAACUUUUUAAGAUUUUUAUUGGAGU
rfam:Populus trichocarpa scaffold_6_contig_74, whole genome shotgun sequence.